rnacentral:rRNA from 1 species
AUUGAACGCUGGCGGAAUGCUUUACACAUGCAAGUCGAACGGCAGCACGGACUUCGGUCUGGUGGCGAGUGGCGAACGGGUGAGUAAUGUAUCGGAACGUGCCCAGUCGGGGGGGAUAACGUAGUGAAAAUUACGCUAAUACCGCAUACGAUCUAUGGAUGAAAGCGGGGGAUCGCAAGACCUCGCGCGAUUGGAGCGGCCGAUAGCAGAUUAGGUAGUUGGUGGGGUAAAGGCCCACCAAGCCAACGAUCUGUAGCUGGUCUGAGAGGACGACCAGCCACACUGGAACUGAGACACGGUCCAGACUCCUACGGGAGGCAGCAGUGGGGAAUUUUGGACAAUGGGCGAAAGCCUGAUCCAGCCAUUCCGCGUGCAGGAUGAAGGCCCUCGGGUUGUAAACUGCUUUUGUACAGAACGAAAAGGUUUCUACUAAUACUAGGAGCUCAUGACGGUACUGUAAGAAUAAGCACCGGCUAACUACGUGCCAGCCGCCGCAGUAA